rnacentral:rRNA from 1 species
GACGUAGGGCGCGAGCGUUGUCCGGAUUUAUUGGGUUUAAAGGGUGCGUAGGCGGCAUUUUAAGUCAGUGGUGAAAUACUUCAGCUUAACUGGGGAGGUGCCAUUGAUACUGGGAUGCUUGAGUACUGAUGAGGUAGGCGGAAUGGACGGUGUAGCGGUGAAAUGCUUAGAUAUCGUCCAGAACACCGAUAGCGAAGGCAGCUUACUAAGGAGUAACUGACGCUGAGGCACGAAAGUGUGGGGAUCAAACAGG